rfam:Citrus clementina cultivar Clemenules unplaced genomic scaffold scaffold_7, whole genome shotgun sequence.
GGGUGCUGUCAAUACCAGUAUUAAUGUAUCAGAUUCCGUCAAAACUCUGCAAUUAAGCGUACUUUGACGAGAAUAGUUAAGAUCGAUGACCUAUUAGGAAGUUCUAGUGUUGCAUGCU